GCUGCAACGGCUUCCUGAAGCAGCUCUCAUUUCUAACGGAGCA
rnacentral:ncRNA from 1 species